rnacentral:rRNA from 1 species
AUUGAACGCUGGCGGCAUGCUUUACACAUGCAAGUCGAACGGUAACAGGCCGCAAGGUGCUGACGAGUGGCGAACGGGUGAGUAAUGCAUCGGAACGUGCCCAGUCGUGGGGGAUAACGCAGCGAAAGCUGCGCUAAUACCGCAUACGAUCUAUGGAUGAAAGCGGGGGACCGUAAGGCCUCGCGCGAUUGGAGCGGCCGAUGUCAGAUUAGGUAGUUGGUGGGGUAAAGGCUCGCCAAGCCAACGAUCUGUAGCUGGUCUGAGAGGACGACCAGCCACACUGGGACUGAGACACGGCCCAGACGCCUACGGGUGGCAGCAGUGGGGAAUUUUGGACAAUGGGCGCAAGCCUGAUCCAGCAAUGCCGCGUGUAGGAAGAAGGCCUUCGGGUUGUAAACCUCUUUCGGGCGAGAAGAAAUUGGUGGGGCUAAUAUCCCCAUCGGAUGACGGUACCGUAAUAAGAAGCACCGGCUAACUACGUGCCAGCAGCCGCCGUAAUAC